rnacentral:misc_RNA from 1 species
UCUCCGUUGGUGAACCAGCGGAGGGAUCAUUACCGAGUUUACAACUCCCAAACCCCUGUGAACAUACCAUUUGUUGCCUCGGCGGUGCCUGCUUCGGCAGCCCGCCAGAGGACCCAAACCCUUGAUUUUAUACAGUAUCUUCUGAGUAAAUGAUUAAAUAAAUCAAAACUUUCAACAACGGAUCUCUUGGCUCUG